UGUGAGGGUGUGCCUUCAGAUGCCACUCAAGAUCAAUACCGUAAGUAUGCUCCCAUUCAAUGAUUGUGGUAGCUAAUCUUGGUUGUCAGCUUGACACACCUGGGAAGAGGGAACCUUAAACAGUUUGUUACUUGUAGCUGAGUCUAGUCAGUGUUAUGGACCCAUGUGGUGCCUUCUGGAAGAGGAAGAUAUCAAGUUACCCAUGGACUGAAUUUUAACAUCGGGCUAGAGAAUCGACUCACUCCAAGAAACCAGCCUGAGGAGAAGGCGAAUGCUGGGGACGAUGAAGAAAGACUCUGUGCUUAUGCUUGGGAACCUUACCUGCCGUCUCUAGAGAGAAGUACGAAGAACGUUCUGCACUAUGUCUUGUGAAGGUGUCGAGUCACCGAAUUUUCUUAGGCAUUUGCUUGCCCACUGUUGAGUGAGCCUUUAAAGGA